CGUUCCCUACGGGGGGCAGCAGUGGGGGAUAUUGCACAAUGGGGGAAACCCUGAUGCAGCGACGCCGCGUGAGUGAAGAAGUAUUUCGGUACGUAAAGCUCUAUCAGCAGGGAAGAAUAAUGACGGUACCUGACUAAGAAGCCCCGGCUAACUACGUGCCAGCAGCCGCGGUAAUACGUAGGGGGCACGCGUUAUCCGGAUUUACUGGGUGUAAAGGGAGCGUAGACGGCUGUGCAAGUCUGAAGUGAAGUGCCGGUGAUCACCCCCGGAACUGCUUUGGAAACUGUACAGCUCG
rnacentral:rRNA from 1 species